ACUGAGAGCCGCAUGAUUACAGGACAGUCGGGGGCAUCAGUAUUCAGUUGUCAGAGGUGAAAUUCUUGGAUUUACUGAAGACUAACUACUGCGAAAGCAUUUGCCAAGGAUGUUUUCAUUAAUCAGUGAACGAAAGUUAGGGGAUCGAAGACGAUCAGAUACCGUCGUAGUCUUAACCGUAAACUAUGCCGACUAGGGAUCGGGCGAUGUUCUUUUUCUGACUCGCUCGGCACCUUACGAGAAAUCAAAGUUUUUGGGUUCUGGGGGGAUUAUGGUCGCAAGGCUGAAACUUAAAGAAAUUGACGGAAGGUCACCACCAGGCGUGGAGCCUGCGGCUUAAUUUGACUCAACACGGGGAAACUCACAGGGGUCCAGAA
rnacentral:rRNA from 1 species